rnacentral:rRNA from 1 species
CCUACGGGCGGCAGCAGUGGGGAAUAUUGCGCAAUUGGCGAAAGCCUGACGCAGCGACGCCGCGUGAGGGAUGGAGGUUCUCGGAGCGUAAACCUCUAUCAGAAGGGAAGAAAUUAUAUCAUGCUAAUCAGUGGUGUAUUGACGGUCCCUUCAAAGGAAGCACCGGCUAACUCCGUGCCAGCAGCCGCGGUAAGACGGAGGGGGCGAGCGUUAAUCGGAAUUACUGGGGGGAAAGCGCACUUAGGCUGUAUGACAAGUCAAGGGUGAAAUGCCACGGCUCAACCGUGGAACUGCCUUUGAAACGGUCAAACUGGAGUAUGGGAGAGGGAGGCGGAAUUCCUGGUGUAGGAGUGAAAUCCGUAGAUAUCAGGAGGAACAUCAGUGGCGAAGGCGGCCGCCUGGCACAAAACUGACGCUGAGGUGCGAAAGCGUGGGUAGCAAACAGGAUUAGAUACCCGUGUAGUC